GAUGAACGCUGGCGGCGUGCCUAAUACAUGCAAGUCGAGCGAACAGAUGAGGAGCUUGCUCCUCUGACGUUAGCGGCGGACGGGUGAGUAACACGUGGAUAACCUACCUAUAAGACUGGGAUAACUUCGGGAAACCGGAGCUAAUACCGGAUAAUAUAUUGAACCGCAUGGUUCAAUAGUGAAAGACGGUUUUGCUGUCACUUAUAGAUGGAUCCGCGCCGCAUUAGCUAGUUGGUAAGGUAACGGCUUACCAAGGCAACGAUGCGUAGCCGACCUGAGAGGGUGAUCGGCCACACUGGAACUGAGACACGGUCCAGACUCCUACGGGAGGCAGCAGUAGGGAAUCUUACGCAAUGGGCGAAAGCCUGACGGAGCAACGCCGCGUGAGUGAUGAAGGUCUUCGGGUCGUAAAACUCUGUUAUUAGGGAAGAACAAAUGUGUAAGUAACUAUGCACGUCUUGACGGUACCUAAUCAGAAAGCCACGGCUAACUACGUG
rnacentral:rRNA from 1 species